rnacentral:rRNA from 1 species
GUAAUACGAAGGGACCUAGCGUAGUUCGGAAUUACUGGGCUUAAAGAGUUCGUAGGUGGUUAAAAAAGUUGAUGGUGAAAUCCCAGAGCUUAACUCUGGAACUGCCAUCAAAACUUUUUAGCUAGAGUAUGAUAGAGGAAAGCAGAAUUUCUAGUGUAGAGGUGAAAUUCGUAGAUAUUAGAAAGAAUACCAAUUGCGAAGGCAGCUUUCUGGAUCAUUACUGACGCUGAGGAACGAAAGCAUGGGUAGCGAAGAGGAUUAGAUACCCUCGUAGUCCAUGCCGUAAACGAUGUGUGUUAGACGUUGGGAAUUUAUUUUCAGUGUCGCAGUGAAAACAAUAAACACACCGCCUGGGGAGUACGACCGCAAGGUUAAAACUCAAAUGAAUUGACGGGGACCCGCACAAGUAGUGGAGCAUGUGGUUUAAUUCGAAGAUACGCGCAGAACCUUACCAACACUUGACAUGUUCGUCGCGACUCUAAGAGAUUAGAGUUUUCGGUUCGGCCGGACGAAACACAGGUGCUGCAUGGCUGUCGUCAGCUCGUGUCGUGAGAUGUUGGGUUAAGUCCCGCAACGAGCGCAACCCUUACUUUUAGUUGCCAUCAUUUAGUUGGGCACUCUGAAAGAACUGCCAGUGAUAAGCUGGAGGAAGGUGGGGAUGACGUCAAGUCCUCAUGGCCCUUACGUGUUGGGCUACACACGUGCUACAAUGGUAUCUACAACAGGAAGCAAAACAGCGAUGUUAAGCAAAUCCCGAAAAGAUACCUCAGUUCGGAUUGCACUCUGCAACUCGAGUGCAUGAAGCUGGAAUUACUAGUAAUCGUGGAUCAGCGUGCCACGGUGAAUACGUUCCCGGGUCUUGUACACACCGCCCGUCACACCAUGGGAGUUGGUUCUACCUUAAGGCAAAG